rnacentral:rRNA from 1 species
AGCAGUAGCCGCGGUAAUACAGAGGGUGCGAGCGUUAAUCGGAUUUACUGGGCGUAAAGCGUGCGUAGGCGGCUUUUUAAGUCGGAUGUGAAAUCCCUGAGCUUAACUUAGGAAUUGCAUUCGAUACUGGGAAGCUAGAGUAUGGGAGAGGAUGGUAGAAUUCCAGGUGUAGCGGUGAAAUGCGUAGAGAUCUGGAGGAAUACCGGUGGCGAAGGCGGCCCCCUGGACAAAGACUGACGCUCAGGUGCGAAAGCGUGGGGAGCAAACAGGAUUAGAUACCCCUGUAGUCCCUGUCUCUUAUAA